rnacentral:lncRNA from 1 species
CUCAUCCCCAGUCUCAAGGGGAAACCAGGACAAUGAGAACAGCCACUUGCCAUCAGGAGUCACUGAAGGGGCCCCAGGAUGGGAUGGUGGGGAGAUAAGAACCAUGAGAGAAGUUAGCACAAAGGAGUUAUGGGACAAAAGGUCCAAGAUAGGCAGAAAAGAAAAUGUUGCCAGUUGAUAGGGAAGAAAGGAAGUCAGAGGGCUCAGACACUGUGGGGGACAGAACAUCUCCAUGUGCACUCUCAUCUCUUGUAGUCAGCAACAGGUUUCCACAGGGAAGGCCCUACAUCAUCUGCUACCCUGAAAGAUCUGGAGGUAAGAGGCUCUGGGCAGAGGUGCAGUGACCCUUCGGGUCAACCCUCCAACCUCCUCCUCCAGGUGGGACUGGGUGCCCCUCUGCCAGCUGAGACAGCCCACACACCCCAGCCCUAACGAUCAUUCUCUCUACCUCUCCCCCGACUCCUGCUCCACCUCCUCCUCUCUGCAUGCACCUCAGAGCCCGUGCCAAGAACGAGCAGUAGUCCUGGAUUCAACGUCCGUAAAAAUCAGUCGACUGAAGAACACCAUCAAAUCUUUGGAAAAGAAAGCAAACAACGAGAGACAGAAAGCCGAAAGGGAGCUAGAGGUGAGUGGAGGGUGUGCAGUUUCCUCCUGUCCUCCGGAGAAUGUUUCUUUCCUUCUCUUUCAGCACUUGCUUGGCUUUUCUCCCAAAGGUUCAAAUCCAGACAUUGAUCAUACAGAAAGAGGAACUAAAUACGGACCUGUGCCACAUGGAACGUUCUCUCAGAUACUUUGAAGGUGGGAAUCUGGGCACCCUGUCAUCCUUCAACCUGGCACUUUGACAGGUCUUCAGGGGGAGUCCCUUGGGCCCCAUCUCAACUCUCUCAUUACAGAAGAGUCCAAGGACCUGGCUGUCCACCUGCAAUAUUCAUUGCAGUGUAAAGGAGAGUUAGAGAGGGCUCUCUCUGCUGUCAUCGCCACAGAGAAGAAGAAGGCAAACCAGGUGAGUCC